rnacentral:rRNA from 1 species
GACGAACGCUGGCGGCGUGCUUAACACAUGCAAGUCGAACGGAAAGGCCCUGCUUUUGUGGGGUGCUCGAGUGGCGAACGGGUGAGUAACACGUGAGUAACCUGCCCUUGACUUUGGGAUAACUUCAGGAAACUGGGGCUAAUACCGGAUAGGAGCUCCUGCUGCAUGGUGGGGGUUGGAAAGUUUCGGCGGUGGGGGAUGGACUCGCGGGUUAUCCGCUUGUUGGGGGGGUAGUGGCUUACAAAGGCUUUGACGGGUAGGCGGCCUGGGAGGGUGGCCGGCGACAAUGGGCCUGAGGUACGGAGCAGACGGCUACGGGAGGCAGCAGGGGGGAAUAUUGCACAAUGGGCGGAAGCGUGAUGCAGCAACGCCGCGUGCGGGAUGACGGCCUUCGGGGUGUAAACCGCUGUCGCCUGUGACGAAGCGGGAGUGACGGUAAUGGGUAAAGAAGCACCGGCUAACUACGUG